AACGAACGCUGGCGGCGUGGAUAAGACAUGCAAGUCGAACGGGCUUGAUUGGGUAGCAAUAUCUGAUCGAGCUAGUGGCGAACGGGUGCGUAACACGUGAGCAACCUGCCGAGAAGUGGGGGAUAGCUCGCCGAAAGGCGAAUUAAUACCGCAUGUGACCUGGGAUGACAUCUUCCCUCAGUCAAAGCCGGGGCAACCUGGCGCUUCCUGAUGGGCUCGCGGCCUAUCAGCUUGUUGGCGAGGUAACGGCUCACCAAGGCUAUGACGGGUAACUGAUCUGAGAGGAUGAUCAGUCACACUGGAACUGAGACACGGUCCAAACACCUACGGGUGGCAGCAGUCGAGAAUCAUUCGCAAUGGGCGAAAGCCUGACGGUGCGACGCCGCGUGAAGGAUGGAGGUCUUCGGAUCGUAAACUUCUGUCAUUUGAGAACAAUUGGCAGGGCAGUAACUGGCCUUGCCUUGAUAGUAUCAGAAGAGGAAGAGACGGCUAACUCUGUGCCAGCAGCCGCGGUAAUACAGGGGUCUCAAGCGUUGUUCGGAUUCAUUGGGCGUAAAGGGUGCGUAGGCGGCGCUGUAAGUCGGAUGUGAAAUCCCGGGGCUCAACCUCGGAACUGCAUUCGAUACUG
rnacentral:rRNA from 1 species